rnacentral:rRNA from 1 species
CCAGAGAUGGUUCGUGCUCGAAAGAGAACCUGCACACAGGUGCUGCAUGGCUGUCGUCAGCUCGUGUCGUGAGAUGUUGGGUUAAGUCCCGCAACGAGCGCAACCCUUGCCAUCAGUUGCUACGAAAGGGCACUCUGAUGGGACUGCCGGUGACAAACCGGAGGAAGGUGGGGAUGACGUCAAGUCCUCAUGGCCCUUAUAGGUGGGGGCUACACACGUCAUACAAUGGCCGGUACAAAGGGCAGCCAACCCGCGAGGGGGAGCCAAUCCCAUAAAGCCGGUCGUAGUCCGGAUCGCAGUCUGCAACUCGACUGCGUGAAGUCGGAAUCGCUAGUAAUCGUGGAUCAGCAUGUCACGGUGAAUACGUUCCCGGGUCUU